rnacentral:lncRNA from 1 species
UCCUUGUCCUCUGCCACAAUAGAGAGAGCCACCUGUGCACAGCACUGUGCUGUGUACUGACAGAAGCAGGCUAAAGAGAAUGGGAAUUUUGAGUCAUGGUAGCAUUUCCAAAUCACAGCAUCCAGAAGUCUUGUGUAGAUGAGAGAAGCCAGUCACCAGGUAUCACUAGCAGGCAUCUUUCUGAAGUGGGUCUUUUGCCCACAACCUGCAGGCUCCAUGGAAAUGGUGCUAAGACUUGAAAUUGCCCCUUUCCUCUCCUAUGAUGGCUGUAAUUCAAACGCCAGCAUCUGUAAGUCAGUUUGUGCUUCUCUCCCUCCCUCCUCCUCUCCUUUCUCCUUCCUUUCUGUCGUCCCCACCCCUGCAGAAGUGAGUAUGCACACACACACAGGUCUUGCAGUCACUCGCUGUAAUGCCUUGUCUGAAACCUGUAUCCAUAACUGAUCUCACUUGUUUCAAGUUCUAAUUUACCAAAACUCAUACUCUGGAAAUUUUUCCUGUCCUUUGUAAAGGAAAUUAAUUGCAAAAAUUUAAGUAACGCCACAUCUCGGACCUUUAGCAUCUCCUGUCACCCUACCUCGUCUACACACACAGCAGCCAGAAGGACAGUUCCAAGUGUCAAGUCACUGUUAGGAAGUGAAUGUCUGCAUGCCACUGUCCCCCCUGGCCCCACCCCCACCCCAGCCGAAUUCAUGUGCUGAAGCCUUAGCCCCCAG